rnacentral:snRNA from 1 species
AUACCUUUCUGGGCCUUUUGGCUAAGAUCAAGUGUAGUAUCUGUUCUUAUCAGUUUAAUAUCUGAUAAAUGGGAACCUACGGUUCCCAGGGUGAACCUCUGAUUUUAAUUUUUUAUAGGAGAAGGACCUUAAAUAGGCUACUUGGUUCCUUGAUUUUAAUUAUUUAUAGGGGAAGGACCUUAAAUAGUAGCUUGCUACUUGGGUUCCUUUUGUGUCACCCUUUCUUUGCACUUUCGUGAGGGCUUGGCACACCCAAC